CAUGGCUCAGGUUGAACGCUGGCGGCAUGCCUAACACAUGCAAGUCGAGCGGAUGAGAAGAGCUUGCUCUUCGAUUAAGCGGCGGACGGGUGAGUAAUGCCUAGGAAUCUGACUGGGAUUGGGGGACAACGUUUCGAAAGGAACGCUAAUACCGCAUACGUCCUACGGGAGAAAGCAGGGGACCGUCGGGCCUUGCGCUAUCAGAUGAGCCUAGGUCGGAUUAGCUAGUUGGUGAGGUAAUGGCUCACCAAGGCGACGAUCCGUAACUGGUCUGAGAGGAUGAUCAGUCACACUGGAACUGAGACACGGUCCAGACUCCUACGG
rnacentral:rRNA from 1 species